rnacentral:rRNA from 1 species
AGCGAACGCUGGCGGCAGGCUUAACACAUGCAAGUCGAACGGACCCUUCGGGGUUAGUGGCGGACGGGUGAGUAACACGUGGGAACGUGCCUUUAGGUUCGGAACAACACAGGGAAACUUGUGCUAAUACCGGAUGUGCCCUUCGGGGGAAGAUUUAUCGCCUUUAGAGCGGCCCGCGUCUGAUUAGCUAGUUGGUGGGGUAAAGGCCUACCAAGGCGACGAUCAGUAGCUGGUCUGAGAGGAUGGCCAGCCACAUUGGGACUGGGACACGGCGCAAACUCCUACGGGAGGCAGCAGUGGGGAAUCUUGCGCAAUGGGCGAAAGCCUGACGCAGCCAUGCCGCGUGAAUGAUGAAGGUCUUAGGAUUGUAAAAUUCUUUCACCGGGGACGAUAAUGACGGUACCCGGAGAAGAAGCCCCGGCUAACUUCGUGCCAGCAGCCGCCGUAA